CUUGUAGGUGGCCAACUAAGUCAAACGUGAAAUCCCUCGGCUUAACCGGGGAACUGCGCUUGAUACUGGAUGGCUGGAGUUUGGGAGAGGGAUGCGGAAUUCCAGGUGUAGCGGUGAAAUGCGUAGAUAUCUGGAGGAACACCGGUGGCGAAGGCGGCAUCCUGGACCAACACUGACACUGAAAAGCGAAAGCCAGGGGGAGCAAACGG
rnacentral:rRNA from 1 species